AACGAACGCUGGCGGCAUGCCUAACACAUGCAAGUCGAACGAGACCUUCGGGUCUAGUGGCGCACGGGUGCGUAACGCGUGGGAACCUGCCCUUAGGUUCGGAAUAACUCCCCGAAAGGGGUGCUAAUACCGGAUAAUGUCUUCGGACCAAAGAUUUAUCGCCUUUGGAUGGGCCCGCGUUGGAUUAGCUAGUUGGUAGGGUAAAAGCCUACCAAGGCGACGAUCCAUAGCUGGUCUGAGAGGAUGAUCAGCCACACUGGGACUGAGACACGGCCAGACUCCUACGGGAGGCAGCAGUGGGGAAUAUUGGACAAUGGGCGAAAGCCUGAUCCAGCAAUGCCGCGUGAGUGAUGAAGGCCUUAGGGUUGUAAAGCUCUUUUACCCGGGAUGAUAAUGACAGUACCGGGAGAAUAAGCUCCGGCUAACUCCGU
rnacentral:rRNA from 1 species